AGUGAACGCUGGCGGUAGGCCUAACACAUGCAAGUCGAACGGCAGCACAGUAAGAGCUUGCUCUUACGGUUGGCGAGUGGCGGACGGGUGAGGAAUACAUCGGAAUCUACUUUUUCGUGGGGGAUAACGGAGGGAAACUUACGCUAAUACCGCAUACGACCUACGGGUGAAAGCAGUGGAUCUUCGGACCUUGCGCGAUUGAAUGAGCCGAUGUCGGAUUAGCUAGUUGGCGGGGUAAAGGCCCACCAAGGCGACGAUCCGUAGCUGGUCUGAGAGGAUGAUCAGCCACACUGGAACUGAGACACGGUCCAGACUCCUACGGGAGGCGGCAGUGGGGAAUAUUGGACAAUGGGCGCAAGCCUGAUCCAGCCAUACCGCGUGGGUGAAGAAGGCCUUCGGGUUGUAAAGCCCUUUUGUUGGGAAAGAAAAGCAGCAGGUUAAUACCCCGCUGUUCUGACGGUACCCAAAGAAUAAGCAACGGCUAACUUCGUG
rnacentral:rRNA from 1 species